UCAGGAUGAACGCUAGCUACAGGCUUAACACAUGCAAGUCGAGGGGCAUCAGGACGAUAGCUUGCUAUUGUUGCUGGCGACCGGCGCACGGGUGAGUAACGCGUAUCCAACCUUCCCCUUAGUAGCGGAUAGCCCGGCGAAAGUCGGAUUAAUACGCUAUGUUAUCCGAAGAGGACAUCUGAAUUGGAUUAAAGAUUGAUCGCUAAGGGAUGGGGAUGCGUCUGAUUAGGUAGUCGGCGGGGUAACGGCCCACCGAGCCAACGAUCAGUAGGGGUUCUGAGAGGAAGGUCCCCCACAUUGGAACUGAGACACGGUCCAAACUCCUACGGGAGGCAGCAGUGAGGAAUAUUGGUCAAUGGACGAGAGUCUGAACCAGCCAAGUAGCAUGCCAGGAUGACGGCCCUAUGGGUUGUAAACUGCUUUUAUAUGGGGAUAAAGUAAGGGCCACGUGUGGCUUUUUGUAGGUACCAUAUGAAUAAGGACCGGCUAAUUCCGUGCCAGCCGCAGC
rnacentral:rRNA from 1 species